rnacentral:rRNA from 1 species
AACUUACCAGGUCAAGACAUGGGCGUGAUUGACAGGCUAAUGACUUUUCUCGAUUCCAUGGAUGGUGGUGCAUGGUCGCACUUAGUUGGUGCAGUGAUUUGUCAGGUUUAUUCCGGUAACGAACGAGACCUCGGCCUUGUAAAUAGCUAUGCUGCUUACAGGGACAUUGGCGGCUACGCCAAGGAAGCUCGAGGCAAUUGCAGAUCUGGAAUGCCCUUAGAUGUCCUGGGUCGCACGCGUGCUACAAUGACGCCACGAACGAGCUUGCGUGAUGAAAGUUACGCAUAAUCAGCAGUCGGCGUCUUAAGAGAUAGUCUCUUGUAACCGUGGGACUCCAACUAGGAAUGUCUCGUAAGCACAAGUUAACAUCUUGUGUUGAUUACGUCCCUGCUCUUUGUACACACCGCCCGUCGCUCCUACCGAUCGAGUGUUUAGGUGAAUUUGAUGGACGUAAGGAAGUCAAAUAAACCUGAGCUCUAGAGGAAGGAGAAGUCGAGAUU